AUAGCAUUUUCUGCUCGCUAUGCUAGAUGGAAUGAUACGGAGAAGAUUAGUACGGCCUCUGGGCAAGGAUGACACACAAUUUUUGAAGCAUUCCAUAUUUAA
rnacentral:snRNA from 1 species